AGCGACGGCGAAGUCGACAGCGCACUGUGUCGCUGUGCUUGUUCGACACGUUUUGUGUUUCUAUUAGUAUCUGCAGAUUUUGACAUUCUCUUUUAUUUUAUUUUUCACUUUGAAAUGAUUCAGACUGAUUGUUGUAGUCUUAAAUCUCAAACGAAUAAAUUUUUAAGUUUGGAUAUUGAAAUUGGUUUUUUUUCUGCAAUAUUUAUAUGUGCAUGCAAACAUAUAUGCCUGUGCGUGUAUGUAUCAAAUUAUUAAUUUUUCUGAUAAUGGAGUUUGCGGAUAUAGUUAAUAAAUGCAAGAAAUAUUAGAAUGGAUUGAAGAAGCCGUUGGGAUUGACUCUGAUGAUAGUGAAAAGGAUGAUAUACAAUAUGUAAUUAGAUUGCACUUAGAAAAGGAUCAACUCUACCCUUUUAAAUAUUAAAAAGCGCUGAGCGAACCAAAAAUUCUGAGUGUAAAAAAAGCGGAAUAGAGAAAAAAAAAUUGAUAAGAAACAAAUGUCGAAAAAAUUGCUUGGAGAAAGCAGUUCAACGCUCCAAUUUAGGGAUUGCAGUGAAGGGUGACACAAAAAAAAAAAAAUAAGUUGCAAUAAUAAGCGAUUAAAGUAUCCUCAUGUAAGCUCAGACUAAGGAAACGAGGCAUUACUGGAAUUCUCAAUCUUACUGCAGCAAAAUUUGUAGAACCGCUGUCUCAAAUGUUUUUGACGGGCGAUUCAAAGAACUUUCUGUCAACUUUUGGGAAAAUUUGCUUGAAAAUGCUUGUUGUUGAGAACAUUACGCAAGAAAGAUGUUUGUGUGAGUAGUUAACAGUUAUAUAGGAGCAAUGUCAGACACCGCUGGUGUACUGUUGAUUAGAUCAGUCGUUGGUGGCAACACUGUUGUGAAGUAAAAUUGAUAAACUGUG